rnacentral:rRNA from 1 species
UACGUAUGGUGCAAGCGUUAUCCGGAUUUACUGGGUGUAAAGGGAGCGCAGGCGGUACGGCAAGUCUGAUGUGAAAUCCCGGGGCUCAACCCCGGUACUGCAUUGGAAACUGUCGGACUAGAGUGUCGGAGGGGCAAGUGGAAUUCCUAGUGUAGCGGUGAAAUGCGUAGAUAUUAGGAGGAACACCAGUGGCGAAGGCGGCUUACUGGACGAUUACUGACGCUGAGGCUCGAAAGCGUGGGGAGCAAACAGG